rnacentral:rRNA from 1 species
AGAGUUUGAUCCUGGCUCAGAUUGAACGCUGGCGGCAUGCCUUACACAUGCAAGUCGAACGGCAGCACGGGAGCUUGCUCCUGGUGGCGAGUGGCGAACGGGUGAGUAAUGCAUCGGAACGUGCCCUGAAGUGGGGAUAACGUAGCGAAAGUUACGCUAAUACCGCAUAUUCUGUGAGCAGGAAAGCAGGGGAUCUUCGGACCUUGCGCUUUUGGAGCGGCCGAUGUCGGAUUAGCUAGUUGGUGGGGUAAAGGCCCACCAAGGCGACGAUCCGUAGCGGGUCUGAGAGGAUGAUCCGCCACACUGGAACUGAGACACGGUCCAGACUCCUACGGGAGGCAGCAGUGGGGAAUUUUGGACAAUGGGCGCAAGCCUGAUCCAGCCAUGCCGCGUGAGUGAAGAAGGCCUUCGGGUUGUAAAGCUCUUUCGGUGGGGAAGAAAUUGCUUGGGUUAAUACCCUGAGUAGAUGACGGUACCCGCAUAAGAAGCACCGGCUAACUACGUG